rnacentral:rRNA from 2 species
CGAGCGGAUGACGGGAGCUUGCUCCUUGAUUCAGCGGCGGACGGGUGAGUAAUGCCUAGGAAUCUGCCUGGUAGUGGCUACGGGAGAAAGCAGGGGACCUUCGGGCCUUGCGCUAUCAGAUGAGCCUAGGUCGGAUUAGCUAGUUGGUUGCGCUAUCAGAUGAGCCUAGGUCGGAUUAGCUAGUUGGUGAGGUAAUGGCUCACCAAGGCGACGAUCCGUAACUGGUCUGAGAGGAUGAUCAGUCACACUGGAACUGAGACACGGUCCAGACUCCUACGGGAGGCAGCAGUGGGGAAUAUUGGACAAUGGGCGAAAGCCUGAUCCAGCCAUGCCGCGUGUGUGAAGAAGGUCUUCGGAUUGUAAAGCACUUUAAGUUGGGAGGAAGGGCAGUAAGUUAAUACCUUGCUGUUUUGACGUUACCGACAGAAUAAGCACCGGCUAACUCUGUGCCAGCAGCCGCGGUAAUACAGAGGGUGCAAGCGUUAAUCGGAAUUACUGGGCGUAAAGCGCGCGUAGGUGGUUCGUUAAGUUGGAUGUGAAAGCCCCGGGCUCAACCUGGGAACUGCAUCCAAAACUGGCGAGCUAGAGUAUGGUAGAGGGUGGUGGAAUUUCCUGUGUAGCGGUGAAAUGCGUAGAUAUAGGAAGGAACACCAGUGGCGAAGGCGACCACCUGGACUGAUACUGACACUGAGGUGCGAA